rnacentral:rRNA from 1 species
UACGAAGGGUGCAAGCGUUACUCGGAAUUACUGGGCGUAAAGCGUGCGUAGGUGGUGAGUUAAGUCUGUCGUGAAAGCCCCGGGCUCAACCUGGGAAUGGCGAUGGAUACUGGCUCGCUAGAGUGCGGAAGAGGAGAGUGGAAUUCCUGGUGUAGCGGUGAAAUGCGCAGAUAUCAGGAAGAACACCCGUGGCGAAGGCGGCUCUCUGGGACGGUACUGACGCUGAGACGCGAAAGCGUGGGGAGCGAACAGG